CACACGGUGUGUGACUUCCCGGAGCGCAGGUGGCCGCGCGGCUGCCAGAAACUCGUCCCUCCCCAGGCCCCCAGGACAAAGGUCUAGCCAGGUCCAUCCAUCCCCUCCCUCCCGGAGCUCGGACAGCCCGGGGAAGACCCUCAUGUGGUGUGUACAGGUGAGACUCUCCUUGCACACAAGGCUGCCACAGACCAGACUUCCAUCCGUGUUUUUUUUUAAAGUAAACAUAAAAGUUUGACAGUCUGUCUAAACCUGCCUCAUAAUGCCGUUUGUCACUCUAGGCAUGGGAUAAAUACUUUUCUCCUAGAAUCCGAUUUGGCCAGGAGUCGGUUAAUUUAAUGCACUAAGCGGCUUUCUCAAAGACUGCCGGCCUGUCAAACAGCAAUUCCCAGACUUUGAAGUGUACUCAAGCUGGCUUUUGUUCUAAUAAAAGGAAAAAUAAAUAAAUAGAAGGAAA
rnacentral:lncRNA from 1 species